rnacentral:tRNA from 1 species
UAGGUCUUAUUUUAUUAGAAUAGCUGGUUGUUACCCAGCAGGUGUAAGUGAUUACAGACCUAG